rnacentral:lncRNA from 1 species
CAAGACACUCUUCAUCUUCUUCCUCUGAAUUCUAAAGUUCAUAAUCUGAAAAUUUUCCAUUAACUUCCUGGUAUCAGAACAGUAGAGCUUGAAAUUCUAGCUCAUGUUGUCGAUCUUUCCCAUUCUUCCUCAUUUAAAGAAAAUCCAAUUCAAAUUUCUUGUGAAUUCUUGUCAAUGGAAAACGAAAGAGCUUUAGGUCAUGGAUCUGGAUCUCAACAACAUGCAAGGGAUAAAUUGAACUCAGGAGUUAGAAAUUUAACUGUUGGAACUGGAAAUCAACCAGUUAGAGUCGACUAUAAUCAUCAUCUGUUCCUGUCUCCAACCAAUAUGAGCGGUAUUCAGAUCAUCUCGUUUCAACUCACAGGUAUUGAGAACUACUCAAUCUGGAAUCGAUCUAUGCGUGUUACUUUUCUAGGAAGAAAUAAGUUGGGCCUAAUUGAUGGCUCAUUUAAGAAGGAAACAUUUCCAGAAAUUCUAUGGAAUCAUUGGCAGAGAGUAAAUGCAAUUGUACUCUCGUGGAUUAUGAAUUCUGUGUCUAAAAAUCGUCUAGGAGGGAUUAUGUAUGUUUAUUGUGCCCAAGUAGUUUGGAAAGAUUUAUCUGAGAGGUUUAACAAGGUAGAUGAUUCAAGGUCGUUUAGUCUGCAUAAAGAAAUUGCAACAUUGUCUCAAGGUACUGUAUCUGUUUCAGUAUACUUCUCAAAACUGAAAGAUAUGUUGGAAGCGUUUGAAGCCUUUCACUAGGUUGUGAUUGUCCUAAAUCUAAGGAGUUUGUAGUAUAUCUUCAAAAACGUAAGCUGUAUUAGUUUUUAAUGGGACUUAAUGACUCGUAUGCCCAGGCUAGAAGUCAGAUUCUAAUGAGAAGUCCAGUUCCUACAGUCAAUCAAGCUUAUACUAUGAUAAUUAGUGAUGAAGGUCAGAAAUCAAUGACCAAUGCCGUAGGAAUUUUAGGUGCCAAUCCUGCAAUGAUGUCAGAAAGUUUUGAUGCAGUCAUGUACUCAAGAUCCACAUGAAAUCAAAGAUUCAAGAAAAACUACAAUGUUUAGUGUGACUUUUGUAAACUCAAGGGACAUAGCAAAGAAAACUGCUACAAAAUUGUGGGCUAACCUCCUGAGUAUAGACCAAAAAAGAAAGGGGGAACUGGAACCAAUGCUGCCUAAAAUGUCAUGACUGACAACAUGGUGCAACAGACAUAUAGUAGUUAUAAUGAUGCAAGAGGUCCUUUACAAAGUGUUAAUAUGAAUAUAAAUCAAGGAUCUUAGGACAAAGGGACUAUAUGAACUCAAUUUCAACCAAUUGAAUCAGAUAACAAAAUGCACAUUCUCAAUAGAGCAAUAUGAUCAAAUACUCCAACUACUUAACAAGUAUGGAGCCAGUCAGGAUUCAAGCACAAUCUCAACCCCUGCAGCCAACACAUCGGGUAUUAGUUGUGCUCUGAUGGUCUUCAAUAGUCUUCAAGAGUGGAUAAUAGAUAUAGGAGCCACAAAGCAUAUGGUGGCUAAUUUGAAUAUGCUAAAUGAGUCUACUAUAAUUCAAUCUGUAAAACCAAAGAAAAUAUUCAUGCCAAAUGGACAUAUUUCAUAUGUGACACACAUAGGUGCUAGCACCAUAUCAGAAGAAAACACAAUUACUAAUAUGUUUUAUGUUCCAUCAUUUAAAUUCAAUUUAUUAUCAGUAUCUAAACUCACAAAGGAAUUGCAGUGCUCAGUAGCCUUUUUUCCUUAUUUCUGUGUAUUUCAGGAACUCUUCAG